GAUGAACGCUGGCGGCGUGCCUAAUACAUGCAAGUCGAGCGAACGGACGAGAAGCUUGCUUCUCUGAUGUUAGCGGCGGACGGGUAAGUAACACGUGGAUAACCUACCUAUAAGACUGGGAUAACUUCGGGAAACCGGAGCUAAUACCGGAUAAUAUUUUGAACCGCAUGUUUCAAAAGUGAAAGACGUUCUUGCUGUCACUUAUAGAUGGAUCCGCGCUGCAUUAGCUAGUUGGUAAGGUAACGGCUUACCAAGGCAACGAUGCAUAGCCGACCUGAGAGGGUGAUCGGCCACACUGGAACUGAGACACGGUCCAGACUCCUACGGGAGGCAGCAGUAGGGAAUCUUCCGCAAUGGGCGAAAGCCUGACGGAGCAACGCCGCGUGAGUGAUGAAGGUCUUCGGAUCGUAAAACUCUGUUAUUAGGGAAGAACAUAUGUGUAAGUAACUGUGCACAUCUUGACGGUACCUAAUCAGAAAGCCACGGCUAACUACGUG
rnacentral:rRNA from 1 species